AAAAGAAAAAAACAUAGCCUCGUCCUUUUGUGGGUUGCCACUUCUGCCUAAUUUUUUCUAGGCAAAUCGAGAAGCUCUCACACCUAAAAAUCCUACGUAUAAAAUCACCCAUAUUUCUUCCAACCCCGAAAAUUUUCUUUAAUUCCGAGUGCCUUCGAAUUCAUCAUUAUCUGAUUUCUCAUUCGUAAUUCGCCUUUGCUGUCAAAAGGUUACUCAUUUCCGCUUUCCUGGUUGGGGUCAUCUCCUAAUUUCAUCAAUGGCUGCAAAAAUUCUUGCUAAUUUAAUUGUAAUGGGCUCUUCUAUAUUGGCAAGGGCUUUUGUUCAAGCAUAUCGUCAGGCAUUAGCCACUUGCACGCCCAUUUGGUUUAUCCAUCAGGCAGCUUGCACAACCUACAAGCACUGGGGCUAUGUAAUCCUACUCACCGGGGGCGGAGUUGAUAGACUCACUCUUAGUGAUUUUAGUUGGGAUUUGAAACUGAGAUUUCCAGAGUUUUUGUGUGUUAACUACCUGGUUAUCCCCUUGCAGACAAGGAAUGUACUGUAUUAAUACUAUGUAGAGAUACAUGGGUGAUUUUCUUAGGGAUUUUAACCCAAAGGAAUCACUAACAAAUUCUGCAUUAGAAAGAAUUGUUAAUCAAUGUAAAAAGUAUGUUUCGACAUGGUUUGAUUCAUGUCCCGCUCCUACCUCAAGGAAUGAAAUGGGGUAAGAUUCAAUAUUCUGAGUUAAGCUAUUGGGUAUGACUUGGUUUGUUGUUAUUGUUAUUACACUGUAUUUGUAAAAUAAAUU